rnacentral:misc_RNA from 1 species
GAUGAAGAACGUAGCGAAAUGCGAUACGUAAUGUGAAUUGCAGAAUUCAGUGAAUCAUCGAAUCUUUGAACGCAUAUUGCGCUCUCUGGUAUUCCGGAGAGCAUGCUUGUUUGAGUAUCAGUAAACACCUCAACUUCCAUAUCUUUUUUUGAAAUGGGAGUUGGACUUGAGUGAUCCCAACGCUUUUCCUCACCGAAAAGUGGCGGGUUACUUGAAAUGCAGGUGCAGCUGGACUUUUCUCUGAGCUAUAAGCAUAUCUAUUUAGUCUGCCUAAAAAACAGAUAAUUACCUUUGCUGCAGCUAACAUAAAGGAGAUUAGUUCUUGUGCUGACUGAUGCAGGAUUCACAAAGACAGCUUCGGCCGAUUUUGUAAACUCGAUCUCAAAUCAAGUAAGACUACCCGCUGAACUUAAGCAUAUCAAUAAGCGGAGGA